rnacentral:rRNA from 1 species
AGGAUGAUCAGCCACACCGGGACUGAGACACGGCCCGGACUCCUACGGGAGGCAGCAGUGGGGAAUAUUGGACAAUGGGGGAAACCCUGAUCCAGCCAUGCCGCGUGUGUGAAGAAGGCCUUUUGGUUGUAAAGCACUUUAAGCAGUGAAGAAGACUCUUCGGUUAAUACCCGGAGACGAUGACAUUAGCUGCAGAAUAAGCACCGGCUAACUCUGUGCCAGCAGCCGCGGUAAUACAGAGGGUGCAAGCGUUAAUCGGAAUUACUGGGCGUAAAGGGAGCGUAGGUGGCUCGAUAAGUCAGAUGUGAAAUCCCCGGGCUCAACCUGGGAACUGCAUCUGAUACUGUUGAGCUAGAGUAUGUGAGAGGAAGGUAGAAUUCCAGGUGUAGCGGUGAAAUGCGUAGAGAUCUGGAGGAAUACCGAUGGCGAAGGCAGCCUUCUGGCAUAAUACUGACACUGAGGCUCGAAAGCGUGGGUAGCAAACAGGAUUAGAUACCCUGGUAGUCCACGCCGUAAACGAUGUCUACUAGUCGUUGGGUCCCUUGAGGACUUAGUGACGCAGCUAACGCAAUAAGUAGACCGCCUGGGGAGUACGGCCGCAAGGUUAAAACUCAAAUGAAUUGACGGGGGCCCGCACAAGCGGUGGAGCAUGUGGUUUAAUUCGAUGCAACGCGAAGAACCUUACCUGGUCUUGACAUAUCUAGAAUCCUGCAGAGAUGCGGGAGUGCCUUCGGGAAUUAGAAUACAGGUGCUGCAUGGCUGUCGUCAGCUCGUGUCGUGAGAUGUUGGGUUAAGUCCCGCAACGAGCGCAACCCUUGUCCUUAGUUACCAGCGGGUUAAGCCGGGAACUCUAAGGAUACUGCCAGUGACAAACUGGAGGAAGGCGGGGACGACGUCAAGUCAUCAUGGCCCUUACGACCAGGGCUACACACGUGCUACAAUGGUAGGUACAGAGGGCAGCUACACAGCGAUGUGAUGCGAAUCUCAAAAAGCCUAUCGUAGUCCAGAUUGGAGUCUGCAACUCGACUCCAUGAAGUAGGAAUCGCUAGUAAUCGCGGAUCAGAAUGCCGCGGUGAAUACGUUCCCGGGCCUUGUACACACCGCCCGUCACACCAUGGGAGUUGAUUGCACCAGAAGUGGAUAGCUUAACCUUCGGGGGAGCGUUCACCACGGUGUGGUUGAUGACUGGGGUGAAGUCGUAACAAGGUAACCGUAA